CGUUUGGCCUAUACUCGACCGCUGGAACAGAGCUUGCAUGUAAUGUGCAGUGCCCGUAUGUUCCAGUGAGUAAGGAGGUGUGAUGGUAAGCGUUGAAGGGUCUGGGUGUGAACCUGCCUGGAGCUGCCAUCGGCACAGAUCUUGGUGGUAGUAGCAAAUACUCAAGUGAGAUCCUUGAGGGCUGACGUGGAGAAGGGUUCCAUGUGAACAGCAAUUGCACAUGGGUGAGUCGUUCCUAAGCCAAAGGCGAAAGCCAAACUCAAUAAACUUGUGGCCAAAGAAAGAAAGAGUGAGAGCCAAAAAGGAGUAUGGCGAAAGGGAAUCCGGUACUCAUUCCGGAACCUGGACAUGAGGAGUAGUGUUGCUUUGAUGCAUCACCUAGCCGCAAGGCAUUUACCAUCCUGGAGAAUCCAACCAGAGAGCCGGGAAGAGUUGUCUUUUCUGCUUAAGGAACAGAGGGCCUUGUGAACUGGGUCGGUCAGAGAGAGGGUCUUUGUUCCGAAUAGCGCCGCGGUUCUUGCGGAGUCCAGCUUCUCUGGUGUGGAACUUGAAAAUCCAGGGGUAAGAAUGAAUUACCUUCAUGCCAGUUCGUACCCAUAUCCGCAUCUGGUCUCCAAGGUGAACAGCCUCUUGCC
rnacentral:rRNA from 1 species